GAAAACGAGAAGAAAAAGGGGUGUUGAAUAGUAUGCAGUGAAAUGCAAGUCAACUGAAUUCAGACAGCACAUGCAGUGCUGAUCAGAGAUUCACACCCUGAAAGAGAUGAAGAACUUUGGCCAUGGACUGCAGUCCACAUUGCUAUGAACAGACAGGCUGUUGGCUCCUGUAGAGUAUUUGUCCUUAUGGAUUAUCUGACAUACACUUUGACUGGAGACACAAAUAGUGGCUGUGAAGAGACAUUCUGUAUCCAUGGUGACAAUCAU
rnacentral:lncRNA from 1 species